rfam:Pelobacter sp. SFB93, complete genome.
UCCGAAAAGAGCAAACCCGUAGUAAUGCGGGGACGCAAAACCAUGGAUCCUUCAUCAAAGGACUGCCAGGUUGCCGAAG